ensembl:lncRNA
GAAUGGCCUCAGCGGGGGUCUUUUAUGGCUUAGGGCCAGAGCCAAAGACGAUAUGUCCUGGGAUGCCAUUCACUUUUACACGGACAUAUAAGAUAAGAGCAGACUUGAUGUACUACAAGAACGGGGUUGAGAGGAAGGUUGCCACUACCAAGGAGAUUAUAGACCCCCAGUUUCGGCUCAAUGGCACUGUACCUUAUUUACCCGAGGUCAUGAAAACGCAUGAAGGGAAGUAUUAUUGGAAGGCUCCAUCGGUCGAUUUUGAACUGAAUUACAUCAGACUAAUUCUGAAAGGUGAGUAUGUUGUGGAAUGUCAUCUCUGAAAGGGUAUCAAUGUUUUGUACAUUGAGAUAUUUUACAUACUUAGCUUUGCUCCCUUUGUACUCUCUACCUCUGUCUAUCUAUCUAUCUAUCUAUCUGUCUAUCUAUCUAUCUAUCUAUCUGUCUAUCUAUCUAUCUGUCUAUCUAUCUAUCUAUCUAUCUAUCUAUCUAUCUAUCUAUCUGUCUAUCUAUCUAUCUCUGUCUAUCUAUCUAACUAUCUAUCUAUCUAUCUAUCUAUCUGUCUCUGUCUGUCUAUCUAUCUAUCUAUCUAUCUAUGCAUAUAUAUAUAUAUAUAUCAGACUGCAGUGUUCGUCAAAAUGUGGUGUACGGUGAGGAGUUGGCCUUAAAUGUGCCGGCGGACGCGUCUGUGUUGGAGUUCACCCCUCACCUCUCAGACCAACACUCCGUCCUGUGGAGACGGAUACACAGAGGGGGGGACGAGGAAGCAAGGGGCGCGGUUAAGGACGGCCGCUGGACAGCACAGAGGAUGACCCAAGCGGAUCAGGGGCGCUACACUUUACUCAGGGAGAGUGGUGGCCAGAUCUCCAGCACUGUGGUCUCUGUUGAAGAACUCCAAAUACAUGCUCACGUGGCUGAUGACGACGUCAGAGAUCACUGGAGAACUGAUGUUAAUAUCUCUGCACGGGAGGCUGUAGUCACUUACUUUACGGCUUUCGGGGGUGAGCAUGUGCUCUUCCGAGACGGCAUGGAGACUGAUGAGGGCUUCGACAUUUUUGGAAAUCGUAUCACACUCCAAAAGUCAACGCUCCAAAAGUCAACUUUCAGCAUCAGCAAAGCGCAGCCAAGUGACGCAGGACGAUACGAGAUCCAUGACAAGAAUGGACAUCUGGCCAUCUCACUGUAUCUGGAGAGAGACCCUGGUCAGUCGUAUGCCAUGACCUGUUUUUAUUGUUGUAUAAUGUAGUUAUUAAUUCUACUUCAAUCUCUUUCUGCGUGUCAACAUUUUUCUCUCUCCUUCAAUCUCUCAGAAGAUGAAGAGUUUUAUCCUACGAGUUUAGCCACUCCUCUUGGCAUAUCUGCGGGCGUGCUGGUUGGACUGCUGUGCUGUUGCUGGUGCUGUUGCAAGUGCUGUGGCAAGUGCUGUGGCCAUGACGAUGGUGACAAGACUGAGUCCGCCGCUGCUUCUCCAGACGCCGAGCAACCCGCUCACAUCCAUGUAAGCGCUUCUAUAUAGGGGAAAGUCUUGCAGGGGUCGUGACCUCGGCCCUUUGUGACAAGAGCAAACACGUGGAGUUGAUUCAUGGAGGGUUAAAAGAAGGAAUAAAAACAAGGCACCCCUGAUGUUAAACUUAAAG